ensembl:snoRNA SNORD116 Small nucleolar RNA SNORD116
GGAUCGAUGAUGAGUCAAAAAAAAAAAAACAUUCCUUGGAAAAGCUGAACAAAAUGAGUGAGAACUCAUACCGUCGCUGUCAUCGGAACUGAGGUCC